AGUGAACGCUGGCGGUAGGCCUAACACAUGCAAGUCGAACGGCAGCACAGUAAGAGCUUGCUCUUACGGGUGGCGAGUGGCGGGCGGGUGAGGAAUCCAUCAGACUCCACUUUUUCGUGGGGGAACACGUAGAGACACUUACGCUAAUACCGCAUCCGACCUACGGGUGAAAGCAGGAGAUCUUCGCACCUUGCGCGAUUGUAUGAGCCGGUGUCGGAUUAGCUAGUUGGUGGGGUAAAGGCCCACCAAGGCGACGAUCCGUAGCUGGUCUGAGAGGAUGAUCAGCCACACUGGAACUGAGACACGGUCCAGACUCCUACGGGAGGCAGCAGUGGGGAAUAUUGGACAAUGGGCGCAAGCCUGAUCCAGCCAUACCGCGUGGGUGAAGAAGGCCUUCGGGUUGUAAAGCCCUUUUGUUGGGGAAGAAAAGCAGCAGGUUAAUACCUUGAUGUUCUGACGGUACCCAAAGAAGAAGCACCGGCUAACUCCGUG
rnacentral:rRNA from 1 species